GAAAUUCAUCGCGGAUGAAGUACUUGGCCCGGGUCACGCGUGGGUCCUCUCCGGGCUCGGGAGUAGCUACGAAGAACAGAAAAAUCGGGGUGAGAAUGACUGGCUGGCCUCUGUGAACGCAACUCUUCCGCAAAGAACUUGACAAGCGGGAGUAGAGGCUUCUAGCACUUUCUUGAGGCGUGCCCGUCCCAUGUGCGGAGGCAGGAGAGAGGUUACUCACUACUGGGCGCAGUCAAUCAGCUGGUACUCAUUGGAGCGCUCAUAGCAGGCACGCACUCCUUCGUCCUCCCACAGAGCCUUGGCGUGCUCGUAGAAUUCCUGAGACACACGAGAGAGAGCACCGAUGAGCUUGUGCCCAGGCCGUCACCGCGCUGCCCCCCUAACCCCCACACCACGGUCCACUGUGUGACCAGCACGGGGUGGGAUUCCCAGUUGAGAGCCAAGUUAACGACUUCAUGCUCAAAAGGCUUUUCACUCAAUUUGCGAAACGUAAUUACAAGCCAGAGUAAUUAA